rnacentral:rRNA from 1 species
ACGCUGGCGGUAGGCUUAACACAUGCAAGUCGUGCGAGAAAGUAUCUUCGGAUAUGAGUAGAGCGGCGAACGGGUGAGUAACGCGUAGGAAUGUACCUAGUAGAAGGGGAUAGCCCGAGGAAACUCGGAUUAAUACCGUAUACCUCCUUCGGGAGAAAGAAGGCCUCUCUUUGAAGCUUUCGCUACUAGAUCAGCCUGC